rnacentral:rRNA from 1 species
AUUGAACGCUGGCGGCAUGCUUUACACAUGCAAGUCGAACGGUAACAGGUUAAGCUGACGAGUGGCGAACGGGUGAGUAAUGCAUCGGAACGUGCCCGAUCGUGGGGGAUAACGUAGCGAAAGUUACGCUAAUACCGCAUACGAUCUAUGGAUGAAAGCGGGGGAUCGCAAGACCUCGCGCGAUUGGAGCGGCCGAUAUCAGAUUAGGUAGUUGGUGGGGUAAAGGCUCACCAAGCCGACGAUCUGUAGCUGGUCUGAGAGGACGACCAGCCACACUGGGACUGAGACACGGCCCAGACUCCUACGGGAGGCAGCAGUGGGGAAUUUUGGACAAUGGGCGCAAGCCUGAUCCAGCCAUGCCGCGUGCAGGAUGAAGGCCUUCGGGUUGUAAACUGCUUUUGUACGGAACGAAAAGGUUUGGCCUAAUAAGCUGAGCUCAUGACGGUACCGUAAGAAUAAGCACCGGCUAACUACGUGCCAGCCGCCGCCGUAA